ACAAUAUUAUACAUUUGAGUAAUCCAAAAAGACAGUAAGCCAAAUGUAUCCAAUAUUAAAAGAGUUAGUUUUUUGGCAGUAUAUAUGUUUUUGUUUUGUAUGAUCUUUUAUUAGUGUACACAUUUUACGUACUUUACAUUAUGUACCUGUAGUUAUAAUAUUCAUGCAUACAAUUUUUUCCAGAAAUUUAAUAUAAAUAUAUUCAUUU
rnacentral:sRNA from 1 species